AACGCUAGCUACAGGCUUAACACAUGCAAGUCGAGGGGCAGCAUGGUCUUAGCUUGCUAAGGCCGAUGGCGACCGGCGCACGGGUGAGUAACACGUAUCCAACCUGCCGUCUACUCUUGGACAGCCUUCUGAAAGGAAGAUUAAUACAAGAUGGCAUCAUGAGUCCGCAUGUUCACAUGAUUAAAGGUAUUCCGGUAGACGAUGGGGAUGCGUUCCAUUAGAUAGUAGGCGGGGUAACGGCCCACCUAGUCUUCGAUGGAUAGGGGUUCUGAGAGGAAGGUCCCCCACAUUGGAACUGAGACACGGUCCAAACUCCUACGGGAGGCAGCAGUGAGGAAUAUUGGUCAAUGGGCGAGAGCCUGAACCAGCCAAGUAGCGUGAAGGAUGACUGCCCUAUGGGUUGUAAACUUCUUUUAUAAAGGAAUAAAGUCGGGUAUGUAUACCCGUUUGCAUGUACUUUAUGAAUAAGGAUCGGCUAACUCCGUGCCAGCAGCCGCGGUAAUACGGAGGAUCCGAGCGUUAUCCGGAUUUAUUGGGUUUAAAGGGAGCGUAGAUGGAUGUUUAAGUCAGUUGUGAAAGUUUGCGGCUCAACCGUAAAAUUGCAGUUGAUACUGGAUAUCUUGAGUGCAGUUGAGGCAGGCGGAAUUCGUGGUGUAGCGGUGAAAUGCUUAGAUAUCACGAAGAACUCCGAUUGCGAAGGCAGCCUGCUAAGCUGCAACUGACAUUGAGGCUCGAAAGUGUGGGUAUCAAACAGGAUUA
rnacentral:rRNA from 1 species